rnacentral:rRNA from 1 species
UACGAAGGGGGCUAGCGUUGUUCGGAAUUACUGGGCGUAAAGCGCGCGCAGGCGGUUUCUCAAGUCAGUGGUGAAAGCCCGGAGCUCAACUCCGGAACUGCCAUUGAAACUGUGAAACUUGAGGACGAGAGAGGUGAGUGGAAUUCCCAGUGUAGAGGUGAAAUUCGUAGAUAUUGGGAAGAACACCAGUGGCGAAGGCGGCUCACUGGCCCGGUACUGACGCUGAGGUGCGAAAGCGUGGGGAGCAAACAGG